rnacentral:rRNA from 1 species
GAAGACUACUAGGAUUCCCUCAGUAACGGCGAGUGAAGCGGGAAAAGCUCAACUUUAAAAUCUGGGCGCAAGCUCCGAAUUGUAGUUUAGAGAGGCGUUUUCGGCGACGGCUCCGGUAUAAAUCCUUUGGAACAGGGUAUCAUAGAGGGUGAGAAUCCCGUCUUUGACCGGAGAGUAUAAAUGUUGCUAUGUGAUACGCUUUCGACGAGUCGGGUUGUUUGGGACUACAGCCCAAAAUGGGUGGUAAAUUUCAUCUAAAGCUAAAUAUUGAAGCGAGACCGAUAGCGAACAAGUACCGUGAGGGACAGAUGAAAAGAACUUUGAAAAGAGAGUAAAAUAGUACGUGAAAUUGUUAAAAGGGAAAUGCUUGGAACCAGUAGCGUUCCCUUGAGAAUCAGCCGUUGACUAUUUCACCGCUGGGUGGAGUGAGCGCAAGCCACUUGCUUGGUGUCUGGGGUGGUGAACGGCGCACUUUUUGGGGGAACAGGUCAACAUCAGUUCGGUCGUCGCAGGACAAAGGUUACGGGAAGGUAAGCUCUUCGGAGUGGUUAUAGCCCGGUCGACUGCUACUGUGGCCUGGACUGAGGAAAUCGCAGCGCACUUUGGGUCCCUGGCUCUUGCUGGUGCACGAUUGAGGAGACUGCGUGCAGACUUGCAGUCGUGUGCAGGCAACCGGGCUGGGUGUAUUCACACAUGUCGCUCCGGAUGUUGACGAAAUGGUUUCAAUCGACCCGUCUUGAAACACGGACCAAGGAGUCUAACAUGUAUGCGAGUGUUUGGGUGGUAAAACCCGUACGCGUAAUGAAAGUGAUUGAGAUGGGAUUCCGUUUUACGGUUGCACCAUC